rnacentral:rRNA from 1 species
CUUUUAAGUCUAAUGUGAAAGCCUUCGGCUCAACCCGAAGAAGUGCAUUGGAAACUGGGAGACUUGAGUGCAGAAGAGGACAGUGGAACUCCAUGUGUAGCGGUGAAAUAGCGUAGAUAUAUGGAAGAACACCAGUGGCGAAGGCGGCUGUCUGGUCUGUAACUGACGCUGAGGCUCGAAAGCAUGGGUAGCGAACAGGAUUAGAUACCCUGGUAG